AUUGAACGCUGGCGGCAUGCCUUACACAUGCAAGUCGAACGGUAACGGGCCUUCGGGUGCCGACGAGUGGCGAACGGGUGAGUAAUGCAUCGGAACGUACCUUUCAGUGGGGGAUAACGUAGCGAAAGUUACGCUAAUACCGCAUAUUCUGUGAGCAGGAAAGCAGGGGAUCGCGAGACCUUGCGCUGAUUGAGUGGCCGAUGUCAGAUUAGCUAGUUGGUGAGGUAAAGGCUCACCAAGGCGACGAUCUGUAGCGGGUCUGAGAGGAUGAUCCGCCACACUGGGACUGAGACACGGCCCAGACUCCUACGGGAGGCAGCAGUGGGGAAUUUUGGACAAUGGGGGCAACCCUGAUCCAGCCAUGCCGCGUGAGUGAAGAAGGCCUUCGGGUUGUAAAGCUCUUUCGGCCGGGAAGAAAUCGCACAGGCUAAUACCUUGUGUGGAUGACGGUACCGGAAUAAGAAGCACCGGCUAACUACGUGCCAGCCGCCGCCGUAAGAC
rnacentral:rRNA from 1 species